CGUACCUAGCAGCAACCAGCGACGCUUCCCGUUCAGCUCCUGCUGUUAAAAUGAGCGCACGGUAGACCGAACUAGCCGCACUUCUGAGGCCUGGGAGGCCUGCGGAGCACCCGUGUUCCCUCGCCACAGAACACCAAGAAACGCGUGUUUUCUCUACGAAAUAAAUUAAGUUUUCACAUGCUGGCAACAUGCUCCAAUAUCAAACCACCAUCUCUCUCUCGAAGAUGGCAAAGUGAUGACACAACAUUCUUUCAGUUGGUCCCCAGAGGCUGCUCCACAGAGGGUCAACGUUAUAAUUUUUUUAGAGCAAGUGUUUGAGCUGUAGGCUGUGCUUGGGCUGAUGCAGCUAUCAGUGUGGGGACAAAAGUGAGUAUUAAAUACCUGGAAUAACAAAAAAGUGACUCUUCAGUGGCCGCUCACACUGAGACAGAUUCUGCUGGAAGGUUCUUCCUGUUAAAAAGGAGCUUUACGUUCCAUUGUUAUCCCAUGCACACUCAGUAUAAGUGCUUAAUGCAAAGUUGAAGACUCAAUUGUCUCUGCCUCCAUGUGCUCGUUUAGAAGGGAUUGCUGUAAAUGUAGUGAUGUGAUGUGAUGUGACAUACUGGGUUUUUCUAUAUUUUACCAACUUGCAUAGGAAAUUGAACUUGACUAGGUUCGAAUUGUGCAAUGUAUGUAACUGACUUUGAAACUGUCUGUAUGAAUGGACAUAAUUAAAUAUACACUGCUGUCGUUUUUUUUGUGAAAUGCCUUUUUUUAUCACUGCUACAUAAAUAAACUGAAUUGAACUGA